rnacentral:rRNA from 1 species
UGGGGAAUUUUGGACAAUGGGCGCAAGCCUGAUCCAGCCAUGCCGCGUGCGGGAAGAAGGUCUUCGGUUUGUAAACCGCUUUUGUCAUGGAAGAAAUUCUUUGAGCUAAUACCUCGGGGUGAUGACGGUACCUGAAGAAUAAGCACCGGUUAACUACGUGCCAGCAGCCGCGGUAAUACGGAGGGUGCAAGCGUUAAUCGGAUUUACUUGGCGUAAAGCGUGCGUAGGCGGUUAUGUAAUACAGCUGUGAAAUCCCCGGGCUCAACCUGGGAACUGCAUUUGAGACUGCAUAGCUGGAGUGCGGCAGAGGGGAAUGGAAUUCCGCGUGUAGCAGUGAAAUGCGUAGAUAUGCGGAGGAACACCGAUGGCGAAGGCAACCCCCUAGGCCUGCACUGACGCUCAUGCACGAAAGCGUGGGGAGCAAACA